GACGAACGCUGGCGGCGUGCUUAACACAUGCAAGUCGAACGGAAAGGCCCUGCUUUUGUGGGGUGCUCGAGUGGCGAACGGGUGAGUAACACGUGAGUAACCUGCCCUUGACUUUGGGAUAACUUCAGGAAACUGGGGCUAAUACCGGAUAGGAGCUCCUGUUGCAUGGUGGGGGUUGGAAAGUUUCGGCGGUUGGGGAUGGACUCGCGGCUUAUCAGCUUGUUGGUGGGGUAGUGGCUUACCAAGGCUUUGACGGGUAGCCGGCCUGAGAGGGUGACCGGCCACAUUGGGACUGAGAUACGGCCCAGACUCCUACGGGAGGCAGCAGUGGGGAAUAUUGCACAAUGGGCGGAAGCCUGAUGCAGCAACGCCGCGUGCGGGAUGAAGGCCUUCGGGUUGUAAACCGCUUUCGCCUGUGACGAAGCGUGAGUGACGGUAAUGGGUAAAGAAGCACCGGCUAACUACGUG
rnacentral:rRNA from 1 species